GGAAUAUUGCACAAUGGGCGCAAGCCUGAUGCAGCCAUGCCGCGUGUAUGAAGAAGGCCUUCGGGUUGUAAAGUACUUUCAGCGGGGAGGAAGGGAGUAAAGUUAAUACCUUUGCUCAUUGACGUUACCCGCAGAAGAAGCACCGGCUAACUCCGUGCCAGCAGCCGCGGUAAUACGGAGGGUGCAAGCGUUAAUCGGAAUUACUGGGCGUAAAGCGCACGCAGGCGGUUUGUUAAGUCAGAUGUGAAAUCCCCGGGCUCAACCUGGGAACUGCAUCUGAUACUGGCAAGCUUGAGUCUCGUAGAGGGGGGUAGAAUUCCAGGUGUAGCGGUGAAAUGCGUAGAGAUCUGGAGGAAUACCGGUGGCGAAGGCGGCCCCCUGGACGAAGACUGACGCUCAGGUGCGAAAGCGUGGGGAGCAAACAGGAUUAGAUACCCGAG
rnacentral:rRNA from 1 species